GACAGAGGUGCCGAGCGUUAGGCGGAAUUACUGGGCGUAAAGCGUGCGCAGGCGGUUUUGUAAGCCAGAUGUGAAAUCCCCGGGCUUAACCUGGGAAUGGCAUUUGGGACUGCAAGGCUUGAGUGCGGCAGAGGAGACUGGAAUUCCUGGUGUAGCAGUGAAAUGCGUAGAUAUCAGGAGGAACACCGAUGGCGAAGGCAGGUCUCUGGGCUGACACUGACGCUCAUGCACGAAAGCGUGGGGAGCAAACAGG
rnacentral:rRNA from 1 species